CGGCAGCUGACACAUUCCAGCCAAUCAGCAGCAGACCCUCCCUCCCAGACCCUCCCACCUCCUGGACAGCAUCCAUUUUAAAGCUGCAUUCUUAGUGAGCUGUCCAGGAGGUGGGAGGGUCUGGGAGGGACUGCUGCUGAUUGGCUGGAAUGUGUCAGCUG
rnacentral:miRNA from 1 species